CUACGUGCCAGCAGCCGCGGUAAUACGUAGGUCCCGAGCGUUGUCCGGAUUUAUUGGGCGUAAAGCGAGCGCAGGCGGUUAGAUAAGUCUGAAGUUAAAGGCUGUGGCUUAACCACAGUACGCUUUGGAAACUGUUUAACUUGAGUGCAAGAGGGGAGAGUGGAAUUCCAUGUGUAGCGGUGAAAUGCGUAGAUAUAUGGAGGAACACCGGUGGCGAAAGCGGCUCUCUGGCUUGUAACUGACGCUGAGGCUCGAAAGCGUGGGGAGCAAACAGGAUUAGAUACCCUGGUAGUCCACGCCGUAAACGAUGAGUGCUAGGUGUUGGGUCCUUUCCGGGACUCAGUGCCGUAGCUAACGCAUUAAGCACUCCGCCUGGGGAGUACGACCGCAAGGUUGAAACUCAAAGGAAUUGACGGGGGCCCGCACAAGCGGUGGAGCAUGUGGUUUAAUUCGAUGCAACGCGAAGAACCUUACCUACUCUUGACAUCCAUGGAAUCUUGUAGAGAUACGAGAGUGC
rnacentral:rRNA from 1 species